UGUACAAAUAUAAUAAGUAGAGAACCAGUCAAGUUUUGAAGUGUGCUUAGCCCUAAAUAAGAAAAUCACCUGCUAGCUCAAACUGCAUACUGGAGUAUUGUAACUUAAUUGACAUCACAAAUUGAAAAUAACUACUUUCUUCUGGUUUAAAAACAGAUAAUGCAUGAGGACUGAUGAUGAGAAAAAUGUUUAAAAGAUGAGGUUUAUUAGCUCAACAAUUGCCAAUUUGGUUAAAAUCAUCAGAACCAAAGAAGUUGAAUAAAAUCUGGAAAUUCCACAUGUAACUAGCCAGUUUAUGACUUGCAAACAUGUGCCAUACAUUGUGUUUAUAGCUUAUACCAGUCAUAGAAGGAAUAUGGCCAUUAUAGAAAAAAUGUACCAUUAUAUGUUUAUUACCCCUUUCUCCAAUUCUUUUUAUUGGA
rnacentral:misc_RNA from 1 species